AGCUGGAGGCCCAAGCCAGGCUCCUAGGGCAGAGGGCAAACGGCCCCUCCAGGAGGGAGCCGGGAGAUUACGCAGCUCCAUGUAGGUCCACGUUUAGGUUGGGAGGAUCUACCAUGAAGAAGGUCAAGAAGAAAAGGUCAGAGGCCAGACGCCACCGAGACUCCACCUCCCAGCAUGCUAGCUCCAAUUCCACCUCUCAGCAGCCUAGCCCUGAAUCCACACCACAGCAGCCUAGUCCUGAAUCCACACCACAGCAGCCUAGCCCUGAAUCCACACCACAGCAUUCCAGCCUUGAAACCACCUCCCGGCAGCCAGCAUUCCAAGCCCUUCCAGCACCCGAAAUCCGCCGCUCCUCUUGCUGCCUUUUAUCUCCAGAUGCUAACGUGAAGGCAGCCCCUCAAUCCAGGAAAGCAGGGCCUCUGAUUCGCGCCGGCCCGCAUUCCUGCUCCUGUGCCACUUGCCCCUGCAGCUCCGCUUGCUGGCGUCGUCUGGGGCUAUGCCAUAGCCGCAUCUUCGAUGUCCUUCUGCCUCGGGACUGGCAGAUGGCGCCAGGGAGAGGACUCCCCAACCUGCUCACCUUCUACAGAAAAUCUUCAAGAAAACCCUCCAGUCAUCGUAACGCGUGUCCUCCAAGCCCUCGGAACUGUGGCUGUGGCUCUGGGGGCUCUAGGAGCUGCCUACUACAUCACUGAAUCCUUGUGAACAAGCCCCUAGGCCCACAGUCUGGCAGACCUCCACCAGCCCCAGGAGUUGAUAGGUGAUGGCGCUGGGAGAAGAUGUUCAGAAUAUCUCAAAAGCCAAGUCCAGAAGGCUCAGCUCUUAAUCAACAGGCAGUUUGAUGUCCUUCCCUGUCCAGAGAGUGAAGAACCAUCUGACGACAGUGACAUCUUUCCUUUUUGGGGAAAGAUGCUUCUAGAAUUUUCUUUCCUAAAGUUUGGUGAACCUCUCCCUUGGCAUCUUCCUCAGCUGAAGAUCCAGUUUCCAUCAAAGGGACCUCUCUUGUCACCAAAAUUUAAAAAAAGAAAAAAAAAACGAGUUCUGUUUCUUUAGCAUGUUUUACUUAGAGACAUAAAAGUUGGACUUGGCAAAUGACUAGGAAGGGAGGUCUGGGGGCCCCAGUGACCUUUUGGGCCACAGGUCAAGCAGAACUGGUGCCUGUCAUUCCUGUUCAGGGCCACAGACCCCCGGUGGAGCAGCUUUCUCUGCACACACUCACAGAACACAGUGUUUGCUUUAGAUUUUCUCACUCUAAAGGAAGGGAUUAUAAAGCUUAACUCAAUAGCUAACGUAGUUAGUCAUCUGCACCUCUGUCCCAGGGUAAUCCCAGUUACUGGGAAUAGGAGGAAUGUGCCGGUUCGCCUCCAGGCCUGCACCCCAGAGGACAGAGGCCCUGUGCCCAGGAACACUGUCUCUAGAAACAGCUUCUUUUAGGGUCACCUGUGAUGGGGAGCAGCCUGCCAUGCAGCCUUGUGUUUAGUGCUAGUGAUGUGGCUACACCCAGCCAGUGCCUGGUGCGAUUCUACCUCUAGCUCCUGAACAGGCGACUCGAAAUCUUAGUUCAAGGUGAUCCCAGCAAACACCAAUAGGGGAGAGGAGUGUCAACGAGGGAAGGAGGCUGGGCCUGGUGGCUCAUGCCUAUAAUUCCAAGACUUUGGGAGGCCAAGACAGGAGGAUGGCUUAAGCCCAGGAGGUCAAGGCUGCAGUGAGCUAUGAUUGCACCGCUGCACUCCAGCCUGGACGACAUAGCAAGACCCUGUCUCAAAAAAUAAAAAUAAAAAAAAGGAACCACCA